rnacentral:rRNA from 1 species
CGAAAGCCUGACGGAGCAAUACCGCGUGAGGGAGGAAGGCUCUUGGGUUGUAAACCUCUUUUCUCAAGGAAGAAGAUUUGACGGUACUUGAGGAAUAAGCAUCGGCUAACUCCGUGCCAGCAGCCGCGGUAAUACGGAGGAUGCAAGCGUUAUCCGGAAUGAUUGGGCGUAAAGCGUCCGUAGGUGGUUAUCCAAGUCUAUUGUCAAAGCGUCUGGCUUAACCAGAUAAAGGCAGUGGAAACUGUAUAACUAGAGUGCAUUCGGGGCAGGGGGAAUUCCUGGUGUAGCGGUGAAAUGCGUAGAGAUCAGGAAGAACACCGGUGGCGAAAGCGCUCUACUGGGCCAAAACUGACACUGAGGGACGAAAGCUAGGGGAGCG